rnacentral:tRNA from 1 species
GCAAUGGUGGUUCAGUGGUAGAAUUCUCGCCUCCCAUGCGGGAGACCUGGGUUCGAUUACCACCCAAUUCA